GCCCCCAUCGUCUAGCGGCCCAGGACACCGCCCUUUCAAGGCGGCAGCACGGGUUCGAAUCCCGUUGGGGGCG
rnacentral:tRNA from 2 species